UACGUAGGGACCAAGCGUUGUUCGGAUUUACUGGGCGUAAAGGGCGGGUAGGCGGCCACCGCAAGUCAGUUGUGAAAUCUCUGGGCUUAACCCAGAAAGGUCAACUGAUACUGCGGGGCUAGAGUGCAGAAGGGGCAACUGGAAUUCUCGGUGUAGCGGUGAAAUGCGUAGAUAUCGGGAGGAACACCAGUGGCGAAGGCGACUUCCUGGCCUGUUCUUGACGCUGAGGCGCGAAAGCUAGGGGAGCAAACGGG
rnacentral:rRNA from 1 species